AUGGAUUUGGCUCAAAUUUUAAGAGGGCCAAAAAUCUUUUUUAAAAUCACUUUCACUUGUGAAAUGGCUCUAGGUUGUGGGAUGUGGGAUCACACAGCCAGCGAGAAAGGAGAAAUUUCGGGGUGGGGGAGGGAGAAAAGAGAAACUACACACACACCCAAAAAAAAAAAAAAAAAAAAAAAAAAACCCAAUGUAGAACAAGAUAUUACCAGGAUAAAUUGGGGGGGGGGGGGGUGAUCUCCAAGGAAAGGCAUUAAGAUGAAAGAAAACUAGGGAAAGCCUCUUGAAAUUUUAAAGGAGACUUGAAGACAGUUAGGAGUUGGAAAUGAUGAGGGAGAGAAUUUCCGACAUCCCGAACAGCCCGAGGAAAGUCUUAUUUUGUGGGGAGAAACACUAAUGGGAUUAAUGGCCCUAAAUCUCAGAGUAAGUGACAGGGAGUAAGGUAUUGGAAGACUGAAAGGCAGAAAAGAAACAAGUUAUAAAGGGCUUUGAAAACCAAACCAAGAUUUAAUAUUUGAUCCUUGGAGGUAAUAGGGAACCAUUGGGGAUUGAUUGAAUGAAGCUAUUGGAUAGUGUGAUGUGGUCACACCUGCAUUUUGGGGAGAUCAGUUUGAGUGGAAGAUGGUUUGGAGUGGGAGAGAUGAGACUGGAAGACCCACCAGCUGUCUAUUGCAAUAGUCCAGAUAUGAGGUGUCAAUGGCCAGGGCCAAGAUAAUUGAAGAGUGUUGAGAAAAGACAGUCCCUUUGAGAGAUGUUACCAAAAUAGAAAUGACAAGACUUGACAACUGAUUAUUACAUUUGAGGAAUGAGAGAGAAAUUGAGGCUGAUACCUUGGUUACAAGCCUGAGUGACAGAAGACGGUGGGUACCCUGGAUAGUAAUAGGGAAAUAAGAAGAGGAACAGAUUUUGAAGGAAAGAUAGUUUUCAGACUUGAACAUUUGGGUUCAGUUUCAGUCAUCUGAGUUUAAGAUGUCUGUGGAGCAUCUACUUUGAGAUACCUGAAAGACAAUUGGAGAUACUAGUCUGAGGUCUAAGGAAGUAAGAGCUAGAUAAGUAGACCUAAGAAUCAUCAGCAUAGAUAUGAUCAUUGAAACCAUGAAAACUGAUGAAAUCACUAACUGUAGUAGCAUGGAGGGAGAAGAGCACUUAGCCCAGGAAAACAUAGUAAAGACAAACAUCAAAUUUGAUCCUCAAAACAACCCAAUGAGGUAGUAACUAUUACUAUCAUUCACCCCAUCUUACGCAUGAGGAAACAGAUGCUCAGAGAAACUCAAUGACUUUACCAUCAUAAGUAAUUAUUAGAGGAAGGAUUUGAUCCUACUCUCCAGGUUCCAAGUUCAUUACUCUUUCCAUGACUGUACCACUUCCAUAUUAUAAUGUCAAAUGUCAUCAUUUCAGUCAAUUAACAAGAAUUAAGCACCUGCUAAACAUCCGGAGGGUAACUAAGGCUUGGAAUCAGAAAGAUUUGAUUAAACUCUUCAUGAGUUCAAAUCUGGCCUCAGACACUUACUAGCUAUGUGACCCUGGGCAAGCCAUUUUAACCCAGUCAGCCUCAGUUCUUCAUGUAUAAAAUGACCUAGAGAAAGAAAUGGCUCUUCCCCUCUCUCUCCCAGAGUUGACAAACAAUUCCACUGGGUUAUAUAUGUAUCAUAUAAUUUUUUUUAAAGGGCAUCAAUAAAACUUUUUUUAAAGUGUGUUAUUCUUGUAAG
rnacentral:lncRNA from 1 species